GAGUUUGAACCUGGCUCAGGAUGAACGCUGGCGGCGUGCUUAACACAUGCAAGUCGAACGAAGCACUGGAGAACGAAUCUUCGGAGGAAGUCUCCUUUGACUGAGUGGCGGACGGGUGAGUAACGCGUGGGUAACCUGCCUCACACAGGGGGAUAACAGUUGGAAACGACCGCUAAUACCGCAUAAGCCGGAAGGAUCGCAUGAUCCGGCCGGAAAAGAUUUAUCGGUGUGAGAUGGACCCGCGUCUGAUUAGCCAGUUGGCAGGGUAACGGCCUACCAAAGCGACGAUCAGUAGCCGGCCUGAGAGGGUGAACGGCCACAUUGGGACUGAGACACGGCCCAAACUCCUACGGGAGGCAGCAGUGGGGAAUAUUGCACAAUGGGGGAAACCCUGAUGCAGCGACGCCGCGUGAGUGAAGAAGUAUUUCGGUAUGUAAAGCUCUAUCAGCAGGGAAGAAAAUGACGGUACCUGACUAAGAAGCCCCGGCUAACUACGUGCCAGCAGCCGCGGUAAUACGUAGGGGGCAAGCGUUAUCCGGAUUUACUGGGUGUAAAGGGAGCGUAGACGGCCAGACAAGUCAGAAGUGAAAGCCCAGGGCUCAACCCUGGGACUGCUUUUGAAACUGCCGGGCUGGAGUGCAGGAGAGGUAAGCGGAAUUCCUAGUGUAGCGGUGAAAUGCGUAGAUAUUAGGAGGAACACCAGUGGCGAAGGCGGCUUACUGGACUGUAACUGA
rnacentral:rRNA from 1 species